rnacentral:lncRNA from 1 species
UCGCUUCUCGCAUCUUCUUAUCCAUCGGGGCCACCCCACCUUCUCACGAAUAACUUCAUUGUUAAUCUUAUCUAACCUGGUGAGCCCGCACAUCCACCUGAGAAUCCUCAUCUCCGUUCAUUCUCUGCACAUGAGAGUUCUUUACUGGCCAACACUCCGCCCCAUACAACAUGCCAGGUCUAACCACAGCUCUAUAAAAUUUCCCCUUGAGUUUCUGUGGAACUUUCUUGUCACACAGGACUCCUGAUGCAAGCCUCCACUUUGAC